rnacentral:tRNA from 1 species
GGGGCUGUAGCUCAGUGGUAGAGCAUUCAUUUGUAUGCAUGAAACUCUAGGUUCAAUAUCUAGCACUACCA